GAAAAUAGAAGGAAAACACACUGGCUCGCUUGGGAUAAACUAACCAGACCAAAAGGAGAGGGCGGUAUAGGUUCUCGUGAUCUUAGACUGUUUAAUCAACCUUUCCUUGCAAAGCAGGCUUGGCGGAUUUUGGUGUUUCGAGAGUCGUUAGUUGCAAGGGUGUUGAAAGCCAAGUAUUAUCAUGGACAUCUACUGGACACUGUGUUUCCACAGUCGACAUCGGUUACAUGGCAAGGUAUUAUGCAUGGUUUGGAUUUGCUUAAACAAGGUGUUAUUCGGAAAGUGGUCGAUGAAACAAAUAUUAAUAUUUGGAGAGAUAAUUGGCUGCCUAGGAAAUCCGGCCUUAAAAUUUUGGAAAGGAAGAGCAGAACAAGGAAUAAAUGGGUGUCUGACUUAUUCUUGAGCGGCCCGAGAAACUGGGAUCAGAAUUUGGUAAAACAUGUUUUCUAUCCUCAUGAUGCUGAGAGAUCCUAA
rnacentral:rRNA from 1 species